GGCGGCCCGGCGCCCUCGGGCCAGGCCGCGGCGGGCAGCGGCGGCGGCGGAGGCGGCGGAGCGGAAUCCGGGGCGCGCGGCCCGCGCGGCGC
ensembl:miRNA